CGGUAAUUCCAGCUCCAAUAGCGUAUAUUAAAGUUGUUGCGGUUAAAAAGCUCGUAGUUGGAUUUCUGUCGGUGAGGUUCAGUCCGCCCAAGUGGUUGGUACGUGAUCCGCCACCGGCAUCUUCCUGGGGAAUGUGUCUGCUCUUAAUUGGGUGGUACAUAAGCCAGGACUUUUACUUUGAAGAAAUGAGAGUGUUUCAAGCAGGCAUGCGCCGUGAAUACGUUAGCAUGGGAUAAUAGCAUCGGACCUCGUUCCAAAGCUGUUGGUUUCUUGGACCGAGGUAAAGGUGAAUAGGGAUUGUUGGGGGCAUUCGUAUUUGACUGUCAGAGGUGAAAUUCUUGGAUUUGUUGAAGACGGACUACUGCGAAAGCAUCUGCCAAAGAUGUUCUCAUUGAUCAAGAACGAAAGUUAGGUGAUCGAAGACGAUCAGAUACCGUCCUAGUCUUAACCAUAAACUAUGCCGACUGGAGAUCGGGGGUCGUUAAUUAUGUGACGCCCUCUGCAUCUUGAGAGAAAUCAAAGUCUUUGGGUUCCGGGGGGAGUAUGGUCGCAAGGCUGAAACUUAAAGGAAUUGACGGAAGGGCACCACCAGGAGUGGAGCCUGCGGCUUAAUUUGACUCAACACGGGAAAACUUACCAGGUCCAGACAUAGUAAGGAUUGACAGACUGAUAGCUCUUUCGAGAUUCUAUGGGUGGUGGUGUAUGGCCGUUCUUAGUUGGUGGAGUGAUUUGUCUGGUUAAUUCCGUUAAUGAACGAGACCUUAGCCUGCUAAAUAGGAUCCCCAAUCUUCGGAUAGGUGGAGGCCUUCUUAGAGGGACGUCGCGUGUCUAACGCGAGGAAGUGUGAGGCAAUAACAGGUCUGUGAUGCCCUUAGAUGUUCUGGGCUGCACGCGCGCUACACUGAUGCGUUCAACAAGUUUUACCUGCUCCGGAAGGAGUGGGCAACCUUGUGAAAGCGCAUCGUGAUGGGGAUAGAUUAUUGCAAUUUUUAAUCUUCAACGAGGAAUUCCUAGUAAGCGCAAGUCAUCAACUUGUGCUGAUUACGUCCCUGCCCCUUGUACACACCGCCC
rnacentral:rRNA from 1 species